UACAGAGGUCUCAAGCGUUGUUCGGAUUCAUUGGGCGUAAAGGGUGCGUAGGUGGCGCGGUAAGUCGGGUGUGAAAUCUCGGAGCUUAACUCCGAAAUUGCAUUCGAUACUGCCGUGCUUGAGGACUGGAGAGGAGACUGGAAUUCAUGGUGUAGCAGUGAAAUGCGUAGAGAUCAUGAGGAAGACCAGUGGCGAAGGCGGGUCUCUGGACAGUUCCUGACACCGAGGCACGAAGGCCAGGGGAGCAAACGGG
rnacentral:rRNA from 1 species